rnacentral:piRNA from 1 species
UGUUCUGACUGACUCAUGAUGAA